UAUCCUAGUCAUUAGUUUUUGAAGGUUGACGGAUAUCCGCCAUACUAAAUGACUUCAUUAGCUGGAUGGGCACAAAACAUUGUGUAACCCGAGAAAAAUUUGAAGAGGAGAAAGAAGAAAUUAUUGAUAGUCAGUAUAGUAUUCUAAUUGUUUUCACUGUUUUGAACUUUGUUUCGCGCUACUUAUGAUGGAAAAAAAAGAGAAAAGGAAAUGAUACCUAACGUCACUUUUAACUGAUACUUUUGAUAUGCCUAGGCAUUAUCAUGUGAUAGUGGUAAAAUUACAUUCUAAUGUAAUUGAUACAAUUAUCUUCAAUGCUAGUUCAGAAGAACAAAAAGUUUGAGGUCAUGCUGAACAUGAAACUACUAAAAGUACAAGUAUAAUGUAACUUACAUUAGUUUCAUAAAGGAGAACUUACGUGGAUGUAAUAAAUUAGAAUAAAGAAUUAAAGAUUCCCCAAAGACUUGUUAUCAUAAGUUUAUUUUGAUAACUAGUUACAUCGAGACGGGAAAGGAAAUAAACAAUAAAACCAACAGUCAUCAAAAAUUAACAACGAUCGUCGAUGCGCCGCCGGUGCGGCUCUGAUGCGCGCACGGUGGCUUUUACGAAAAUCGUUCCAUACAGACGCCAUUGCACGCAGAUUUUUCAUUUUGUUAUUGGUGUGGGGCGGGAGCCAAUCACCAUCCAGCGCGAGCAGUGCGGCUUUCGCUCACACCCUAUUGGCUGCGGGGCUGUAUCACCGGCAUCUCUUGGCCCAUUAGAAUAGAUGAUAGAUCACUGAUGCUCGACACAUCCUCCUAAUCACAUCUCAUUGGUCAGUCCCUCUCCGAUCCGGCUACACAACCUGCAACCCAUUCAACCUUACUUGUCACCGCGCCUUCGCGCCAGCCAACGUGACAGCUGACAGCGCAUCCAACCGUCCUGUUUCAGGGCCACUAUAUCGAGUACCCAGCAUGAGUGGGUUGUAUAUUCUUACACGAGUUGCGAUGACGAUGGGCAGUUGGGGUGCCUUCAGUAUGCGGUAUUUCACUGUCUACGUUGAUUCACUCUCGAAAACGGGUCCUCUUCUCGUUUUGCUAUCUCUUGGAGUCAUCUAUAUCUUGUACUACCUCCUCAGUCGACCACUAAAUUUAAUUUCCGUAAGAAGCUACGUUUAUUUUUUACAAACCUUGCUACUUAACAGAACAAAAUUGCACAGAGGUCCACACAUCGUAGCUCCUCUGACGUAAAGAUGUAUCUCGAUUUCCCUGCCGUCCGUUUGAGCCCUGCUCUCCGUUUAACUCUAUGCUCCUCUGGGCUCAUGCGUAAACCGAGAUACGCCCUUAAUUCGUCAGAGGAGCGAAAAUAUUUCGGUCUCGUAAGCUAUAUUCCGACGUAUGAUUUCCGUCUCGAUUGCUGUAGAUAAUUUAAUUUUAGAAACCAUGGUUGCUGGUUUGAACCGACUUGUUGCUAAAGCUGCCCUUUUAAUCAAAAAUAAAUUGUCCCCUCUCUGAAAGACACUAAAAAAGCCGCCUCCCCCCCCCCCCCCGCUUCAGUGAAACUGUAGAGCAGAAAAAUAUAUACACUCAGAAACUCUUUCUUCCUUUUUUAGAAAUCUAAUGAAAAAAGAGGUUUUAAUCUACUUUAAAACGUUUAGCAGUGUCAGAAUCACAACUUUCAGAACCAUUCUAUUUUUCCCCUCAAAUGAACCCACUGUAAAAAGUAACCUCACAUUUUUCCUA
rnacentral:lncRNA from 1 species